rnacentral:tRNA from 2 species
GCGGGCGUGGCGGAACUGGUAGACGCGCCAGAUUUAGGUUCUGGUAUCUUCGGAUGUGGGGGUUCGAGUCCCUUCGCCCGCACCA